GGCCCCGUGGACUAACGGGAGGUUGCGAGGUUCUCACCCUCGUGGUGCGGGUUCGAUUCCCGCCGGGGUCACCA
rnacentral:tRNA from 1 species